UGCGAACUCCUACGGGAGGCAGCAGUGGGGAAUCUUCCGCAAUGGACGAAAGUCUGACGGAGCAACGCCGCGUGAGUGAUGACGGCCUUCGGGUUGUAAAGCUCUGUUAAUCGGGACGAAAGGCCUUCUUGCGAAUAGUUAGGAGGAUUGACGGUACCGGAAUAGAAAGCCACGGCUAACUACGUGCCAGCAGCCGCGGUAAUACGUAGGUGGCAAGCGUUGUCCGGAAUUAUUGGGCGUAAGGCGCGCGCAGGCGGAUCAGUCAGUCUGUCUUAAAAGUUCGGGGCUUAACCCCGUGAGGGGAUGGAAACUGCUGAUCUAGAGUAUCGGAGAGGAAAGUGGAAUUCCUAGUGUAGCGGUGAAAUGCGCAGAUAUUAGGAAGAACACCAGUGGCGAAGGCGACUUUCUGGACGAAAACUGACGCUGAGGCGCGAAAGCCAGGGGAGCGAACGGGAUUAGAAACCCCGGUAGUCCUAUC
rnacentral:rRNA from 1 species